CCUCUGAUGGUUGUUUUGUGGCUGGGGAGCUUGUUCUUGGAGUAAUUUGUUCCAUUUCUUCUUUUUAUGUAGGAUGAAUGCUGUAUAUGUCUGGUAACGAAGUAAGCACUUAUUACAAGCAUGUCAUGCUUGUUUCAAUUCUUCCUAUGCACAGUAGGAAAAGCUAGGAUUUUAUGGCUGCACCCUGGGCAUUUUGAAGACCAAUCUGCUCUGCUUUUCAGUGUGCUAUGCUCUGGAAGAUUGUGGGAGUUGUAGUCUUCCUGUGCAACUCUUGUUUUGUGAACUGCAUUUCCCAGAAGUCUGUUUUGUGCAGCCAGUGUCAUUUUUCUGGAGGUCGGUGUUCCUGAGAGGUGCCUCUGGAAGAAGGCCACCAGCAGGGUCUCUGUCUUGGAGAGAUGACACAGCAGAGUGAUUUUUCUUCUUUCUGCACAUGAGAGACCAGGGUCAGGCAGGGCACCGUCCACGGAAAACAUGUUCUGUGCUGGAAGGGCAGCAGGAGGUUGCACAACUCUCAGGUUCCACCGCAGCAGAUCCUAUUCUGUAGCCAAGACCUCUCCAAACCUGACUUUCGUGCCAGCCAGCUCUCCUCCAGAUCCCACAGAAGUGGAGGAGCUGCAGCACUUCAUUUCCCAUUCCCAGAGGCUCUUUGUAAUGACUGGAGCUGGAAUCUCAACUGAAUCAGGGAUCCCUGACUAUCGCUCGGAGGGAGUUGGACUUUAUGCCAGGACAGAUAGGCGGCCCAUCCAGCACGCCCAGUUUGUUCACAGUGCCAGUGCCCGUCAGAGGUAUUGGGCAAGGAACUUUGUAGGCUGGCCCAAGUUCUCCUCUCAUCAGCCUAAUGCAGCACACCUGGCCUUAAGGAAUUGGGAGAGACUAGGGAAACUCCACUGGCUGGUGACCCAGAAUGUGGAUGCCCUGCAUAGCAAGGCUGGAAGUCAGCAGAUGACAGAGCUGCAUGGAUGCACACACAGAGUUUUCUGCUUGGGUUGUGGAGAUCAAACCCCCCGUUCUGAGCUUCAGGAACGCUUUGAAGCCAUGAAUCCCACAUGGACAGCUGAAGGACAUGGUGUGGCCCCUGAUGGGGAUGUCUUCCUCACAGAGGACCAGGUGCGUUAUUUCCGCGUCCCAACCUGCAGCAAAUGUGGUGGGAUCCUGAAGCCAAAUGUGACAUUCUUCGGGGAUUCUGUGAGCCGUGAAAGAGUGGAUUUUGUGCACCAGCGCCUGGCUGAAUCAGAUUCUGUGCUGGUGGUAGGAUCCUCUUUGCAGCCAUCUCUUGCCUCUGCUGUUAUCUAUCCUGACUCUGGGCCUGUCAUUAACCAGGAUGUCUGAGGAACAGUUUAGGUGGUUACUUUCCAGAAAAAAGGUGUAUUAUAAAAUGUUAAAAUACACCUUAAGAGAAACUCGUCUGAUGGGAUAAAACCAAGCCUGCUUUGUUGUGAUCCUCAGGGUUUCAGGAGCCCUGAAUCAGUAUCCUAAGCAUGACCAUAGUCUCUCAGGUUUAUCAUGGGACUUCAGUUGCAGAACCAGUUGGGCAGAGCACACAGGCCAUGCAGCUGGAAGCAUUUGACCAAGCACCUGUGAUAACCAGUAGCAACUGGCCAAGAGAAUUAUGCAACAACAGACUACAGGGGGAAGGUAUACUCUGGUUACAGGUUUGCUCUUGCUGCCCAUGAGAAGAAGCUCCCAAUUGCAAUACUGAACAUUGGGCCCACAAGGUCAGAUCACUUGGCAUCCUUGAAACUGAAUUCCCGCUGCGGGGAGUUGCUGC